UUGAAUUGAAGAGUUUGAUCAUGGCUCAGAUUGAACGCUGGCGGCAGGCUUAACACAUGCAAGUCGAACGGUAGCAGGAAGAAAGCUUGCUUUCUUUGCUGACGAGUGGCGGACGGGUGAGUAAUGCUUGGGAAUCUGGCUUAUGGAGGGGGAUAACUGUGGGAAACUGCAGCUAAUACCGCGUAUUCUCUGAGGAGGAAA
rnacentral:rRNA from 1 species